GGAGGGAGGUGUAAACAUAUGUUUUGACUGUCAGGAUGCCUUGAUUUUGUCCAGCUCUUCUGAGUGUGCCAAACAAGUAAUGCUGUAGUUAUUUCUCCUUAAGACAGGCUGUUGAGCCCCUCUUCAUGUCAUUACAAAAGUCAACACAAACAUGUACAAACAUCCUGAGGCUGUCCACACUCCACAAAGUUGUUCAAGUUAUCCGAGCCCAACAAAUGCCGGUAAUGGUGAGACUGUUCUUAUUGCAGAGGUUGUUGAGUCACUCUUCACGUCCUCCCUGAAGGAAGCCGGCGGCCUGAAGCACCGCGGGCAGGUCACCACCACCAGCCUGCAGGCCAGGGACCACAAACACCUCUGGAUGGGACUCUGGAAUGGCAGGCUUCACUGUGGCUUCACUAAGGCCUGGUUUGCAGUAAUUAGGUAAAGUUUGGGGCACAUGUUACAAGUGUGCCUGGCUGUGGUGCUCAUCUCCAUCCCUCUGGCCCUUGAGCCAGCAGCGGGUAAGGACCCAUCAGCCCCAGGACAUGGCCACUACAGUAUCUGGGUCACCACAGCUGCCUUGCCCAGGCUCCCUUUUAUAGGCCAACCCAAAAGGAAGGAUGAACAGCUGGGUGGGUCGUCAUUAUAACCCAGACCGGUGUGUUCAUAGCUAGCCGUCAACCUCUCCACCAAGGGAGCACACUGGUUGCUGUGUGUGUCUACUCUUUCAAAGCAAACACUGCCUGGGUCACUGUAACAGCAGCCUGCCCCUGUCCCUGCAGAGGAAGGUGUUCCGUCAGUGUAACAGGAGAAAGCUGAAAAUCAACCGCACGUGCAAGACAUGCCAGGCACUGAUGU